UCCACAUUAAGCUUCUUUUGGGUAGAGGCAACAAAACGCUGCGUUUAGAUGCCCUCGGUCAUUUUGUGGUUUUCCAAAACGACAGUGGUAGCUCCGAGAAAAUCGGAGAGGUAUCGACAGUACUUUCUUCACUCAGUCUCGGACGCGUUGGAGACUAUUUCCGAUCAAACUCGCCGAAGCUACCGGAAUCUCCGUUCAGCUUCAAUCCUAAACCAAUGGUUCUUUUUUCUGAAUCUGUUCAUAUGAUUUUCUACUAUUUGCUUUCCAAUUCUCUGCUUUUUUCAAUGUAUAUUUGUCGUCCACACUAUAAUAUUCGUAGCAGAAAUGUUUUCGCUUUCGAAAAUGGAAACGAUGAACAUUUGGUUUUUCUACUGCUUUCAGUUGUAUACAGCGUUGGAAAAGAAUGCUCAUCUUGUAUCGACGGAUGAUUCGUGUAUUGACGUACAAGGUUGAACCCUAUUUACAGAAACAAUAAAGUUAAGCCUAUGGAGAUGGGAUUGAAAAUGCAAAAGAUAUUAUAAAUGACUUAAUUCAAAUCAUAUGUAAUCGGAAAGAAAAAUCUGCAUGCUUGAAAUUUUACACCUCUUGAUUAGAGGAGUUAGAACUGGAAAUUCUAUUAUGCUCCCAUUGGAGAUACCGCUCCUGGUUUGUGGAAAUUGAAACUGUGGAGAUGAUAAGCAUACGCCAUUUGAUCUUUGUACGGUAUAUAAGAAAUGCCAAAUGAGUCUUGCGGUACAUGAUGACGGAUGAAAUGAUAAUCAAUGGAAGGGUGUUUCACUUUUGAAUGAAAUGUUGGAUUGACCGAUAGAUAAGUAGCCUCAAUACUGUUAUAGAAUAUGACAGGUGGUUUAGUAAGUGUCACAUUAAGCUCACCAAGUAAAUUUUGAAGUUCACCUGGAUAGGAUGCAAGAACUCAUUACUUGGCUUCUGUAGAAGACCGAGCAACUGACUUUUGCGUCCUUGAAUGCCAUGAGAUAGCAUUACCUCUGAGAUAAACAAUGUAGGGCGUGGUGGAAAUGUUGCCAUCCCUAUUCCCUAGCCCAAUUUGCAUCUGAAAAGGCUCUCAAGUGAAGAUGUUGGUUCCAUUUGAGAAAUAAGCCAUGAUGAAUGAUAUGUUUCAAGUAUCACGGCAAUCGUUUAGCAGUGUACUAGUAAGAUUCAGUAGUAUUAUGCAUGAAUUGGGCAAGUUUGUUCAUUGAAUAGGAGAUGUCGGGGUGUGUGAGGGGAAAAUAUUGCAAGGCACCAAUAACUUGUCGAUACUUUGUGGUGUCCAUGAGUGGAGAACCAUCAGAUAGAGUGAGUAGUUGAGUGUUUGACAUUGGUGGGGUGACAUCUUUGGCGCCAAUCAUGUUUGUUUUCUCAAGAAGGUCAUAGAUGUACUUAAAAAUAGUGAGGAGGAGACCAGUGAGAAUGGAUAACACCUCAACACCAAGAAAAUAGUGCAAAACACCCAAAUCUUUGACUGAAAUCCUGUUAGGUAAAACUUGCAACAAUUAAGCAGUGAAAGCAGCACUGUUUCUUCUAACAAUAAGAUCAUUGACAUAGACAAAGAAACGCACAGUAACAAUAGCAGAUUUAUAAAUAAAUAAGGAAGCAUUACUUCUGGAGUUAACAAAGCCAAAGUAAAUUAGAAACCCUUUUAAGUUCAUUGUACCAUAGACAGCUUUCCUGAGCUUGCAAACAAAGGACGAAUGAGUAGAGCCUGUGAAUCCAGGAGGUCAUUGCAUGAAGACCUCCUUUAUGAGAGUGUCGUGCAAAAAGGCAGUAUUAUCAAAUUAGCCAGCCAUUUGAGAGGGCAAUAUUGAGAAUGAGAUGUAUUGUGGUUGAUUUAACUAUUGGACUGAAAGUGUCACAGUAAUGCAAACCAAGAAGCUAACGAAAUCCCUUGGCUACAAGGAGAGGUUUGUUUUGUGAGAUCGAGCUAUCAAGAUUUCUUUUAAUGCAGAAAAUGCAUUUGCAUCCAAUGAGAUUUUGCGUGGGGCUUGGGGUCACUAAAUCCCAAGUGCCAUUUGGGAGGAGCUUUUGUGUUCAUUGGACAUUGCUUGUUGCUAGUGGACAGAUUCGAGUGCCUGGGUAUCAAAUGUUGGUUCAACAUACUUGGCUAUGGAAUGCUUGGUUUUGGUGUGAUUAAGGACCUUAAGCGUCAAGAUGUUAUUCUUAGACCUGGUGACCAUGGUGUAAGUAGCAAUGAAGGUAGUUGCCUAUUUUUUAAGGAGGACCUAGGCUAAGGUGAGGUUGUGGUAGGGAUGACUGACAAAGAAGGGGAUGUUUGGACAGCAAGGGUAGCACCUGUUUCGGUAGUCAUAGAGCUUGUGGUUGUCAAUGAUGAAUAAGCAACAGGGCAUGCAUCUAAGUAGGGAGGUGGUGCUACAACAUUUGCAUGAGGAGUAGAUGGCAUGGUGGACUAGCUCAGGGACUGAAAUGGAACAGUAGUGAUUGGGGAGAGAAGAACCACAAGAGAUCAGGACAAGGAAAACCAAUCAUGCAGAUUGAGGGAGGUGGUAGUGGAUGUGGUAAUUUUGAAGGAUAGAAAAACUGUUUCAAUGAAUUGAACAUGAUGUGAAUGAUAGAUUUUAGAUGUUCUGAGUUCCAAACAGAUAUGAGAACUUUGAUUAAGAGAGUAUCCUAAGAAGAUGCAUGGUUGAGAUUUUGGAUCAAGUUUAGUGGAUGUAUAUGGUUUGAUCCACGGAAAGCAUAAGCACACCCAAAAUUUUUUUAUUUCCCAUAAUUUGGUUUGGCAUGAAACAAUUGCUAUAAGGGGAGGCAUAGUUGAGAAUAGGAGUAGGAAGGCAAUUUAUAAGGUAGACUGUAGUAUGAAAGACAUAGGUCCGAUAUUGAUGAGGGAGGGAUGCAUUGUGCAAUAGGGUAAGGCCUGUUUCAAUGAUAUGUUUGUGAUGCUGUUCGGCUGAACCAUUAUGUUGGGGAGUGUGUGGCAAGGUCUAAAGGUGCUGAAUUCCAAAGCUAGCAAGAAAGUUUUUAAGUGCAACAUGCCACCACCAUUAGAAUAAAUAGAAACAAUGGAAGUUUUAAAGUAGUUUUUAACAACGGACUUAAAUUGAUGAAAUAUUGAAUAAAUAUUUGUUUUAAGAUGCAAUGGAUACAACCAUAACUUUUUUUUUUUUUGAUAAGUACAACCAUAAGUAUUUUUAAAAUAAUUGACAAAGAUGACAUAAUAACUAUACCCAUCAAUGGACACAAUAGGAGAAGGUCCUGAAACAUUGGUGUAGACAAUGUCAUUAGGACCAUGACUUUGAAGACUUGACUAGCCAAAUGGAAGACAGUGGCUCUUAUUGCAAUGACACGACUCACAAAAGAAGGGAGAAAUCAUAUGGCAGCACCAAAGUGAGCAAGGAAAGUUGUGAUUUUGAGAGAAGGGUAGCCAAAUCGACUAUGCCAAAUGUUAGGAGAUGCUUUGAUGCUCACACAUGGAGAGGGAACCAUAGAUUGUCGACUGGAUAAAUGCUUAGAGCUCAGCCACUCUUAUUACAUCAUGUCUAUUCUGACUAUGAAGUAUGAAGUAGGUGUGCAGUUUUGCAAAACUUGGAAAUAGAAGUCAAGUUCUUUUUCAUAGAGGGUGUACAUAACUCAUUGGAAAGUGAAAAAUUAUUGGAUAAUGGCAUUGAACUGCUAUAGGUAAUGGAAAGACCCAAACCAUCCCUAUUACAAUGUUGCCAGAGCCCUCUUAGUCUUGGUGAAUGAAGAGGUUGGAAAGAUUGUAGGUGACAUGGUGAGACAUUCCAGAUUCCACAAUCCAGUUUCCUUUGGUCAGAGUGUAGGUAGUAGUGAGAUUGGCUGAUGGUUUAGAAGGGUGAAGAUGAGGAAAAAGCUUAUAGCAUUUGCAGGCAUCUUGUCCAUGUUUGCCAUUGAAUUGGCAAGAAACAGGGUUGGAAGGAGUGGAUGGGAUGGCAGGAGAGAAGGAAUGGGUUUUUUCAUCACAGUAGAUCAGUGGAGGUGAUGGAAGAAGACUAGGAAUGUUUUGAGGGGUAAGGUUUCUUGUUGUUGAGUGGGAUUUUGCAGGUGAGAUUGACAGUUGGUGGGUUAGGUUUGGGAGUGACAUCACCAUGGUGCAGAAAGAUAUCAUGGUUGACAAGCUGAUCGUAUAGUUCUUCAAAUGGAACAAUGGGGUCCUGAUUGUGUAAGGCUGCUAUGAGUUCCUUGUAGGCAUGCUCUAGACUGUAUGUAUUAUAGAGAAGCAGGUUGGCAUCACUGGGAGGAGCACCAAGUUUGUUGACAAUAUUCUUGAUGGAUAACAGGAAUUCUGCCUCUGAUUUGCAGCGACAGGUGAUCUGAGAAAAUUUAUCCUUAAGAUAAAUGAUAUGACCAUGAGAUUUCUUUGUGUACAUCUGCGCAACGCGUGUCCAAGCUUCUUGGCUGGACCAGGCAGAGGACACCAAGGGGACCAUUGUCUGAGACAGUGAGGCCAAGAUGGCAUGUAAGAGUAGCUGAUCUUAACACAUCCAAAACAUGUGGAUUCAAAGAGGAAACACCAUUUGUCACAGUUGCAGAGGGAGGACAUGGCAUGGUUCAAUCUAGAUAUCCAAGCAAGUCAAGGCCAUAAAAGAGAGAGAUGAACUGAUCCCACCAUGAGAUAUAGUUGACGGAGGUUAGUUUCAAGGGAAGUUGUGCAACAGCAUAAUGGUGAUGAGGUUCAUGGCAGAUAAAGAUGCUGUGGUGGAGACAGUAAUGACGGGGUUAUUCUUGACUGAAUCAGUGGCCAUUUCUAGAGAAUGAAGUUUGGUUGAAGAAGAAGAAAAAAUCACUGAGAGAAGAAAUACUUGUUGGAGUGUCUGUGGUUCUGAUACCAGGUAGGGAAUGCAAAUAUCAGAGAAUACAGUGUUGGAAAAGAAUGCUCAUCUUGUAUUGACUUAUGAUUCAUAUAUUAAUAAUAUACAAAGUUGAAUCCUAUUUACAGUAAACUACUAAACUUUAAGCCUUAAGAGUAGGGAUUGAAAAUACAAAAGUAUUACAUUUGACUUCAUUCAAAUCACAUGUAAUCAGGGAGAAAUAUCUGCAUGUUUGAAAUCCCUUGAUUAAAGGAGUUAGAAUUGGAAACUCUAUCAGUUAAAGUACUUGUAUUUUGAUAUUUUCUAAAAAUGAUCCUAGUUUAGAAAAUAUUCUUGUGGAUAGUAAUUGGAUUUUUUUAUUUUUUUUAUUUUUCUGUUUAUGAAGACAGUUAACAAUUUUCAUUUGAGCUACCAAACCGACCAUAAUUGAUUGUUUACUUAUUAUGUUAUCAUCUAAAAAUCUGGCAAUUCCUUAGUAUUGAUAUGGAUUUUAGUUAGUAAUAAUGAUCUUAUAGUGGUUGAAUAUGUGCAAACAUUAUCUGAAAAUUUUGGAUGGAAUGUGGAACUAUGAAUUAGCUUAAGUUCAUGGCCAAUGAGUUUUUGUUAGUAUUAAUAUAUGGGAAUUCAACUUUAGUAAUUCAGUCUUCAUAUACAGUGCACUACUAGUGGCUCCUAUAAUGUUGGAAGGUAGAUUUGUUGAAAAUGGUAUUCAAAAAUUAAUAACAUAAUAUUCAUGGAGGGUUAAAAAUUAAGCUCAACUUGCUGCAAUAGAACGUGGAUCACCAGAAUUUACCCCAUCACGGCUAGUUUAAUACUAAAUUUUUGAGUUAUAUAUACAUGCAUAUACACAGGAAUGAAAAUACAUAAUAUGUUAUCUAGGUACAAAAACUUGCAUUCACACAUAUAUGAGCAUUCUAGGAUAUCUAAGGAAUUUUGGGAGUUGCCAUUCUUGAAAUUUGCUUAGUUUUCUAUUUCUCAUAUGCCGUGGGAGGAGGCUGGAGGGAGCAGCAUUAUGACAUCCCAUAACUUGUUCUCUUACUUUGCUGACCUCCAACUACAAAGCCCCCACCUGCCCAGCCACUAACACCCAUCAACCCACCCCCGCCAGAGACACCAACUCCAAAAUGGCCAAAACCUCAAAAGGAAAAACAAAUCACUUAGCAAUUUUGGUAUGUAUUCUCUCACCAUAGACUGCUUCUUUUUCAUUUUUUGAAUAAGUCAAGCAUUUUAAGCAUUUGAUAUACAUGUCACUUAGAAAGGAUGGAGGUUUUUGAGAGCCAUGUGUUAAAACUCUCUCAUGACUUAUCAUUUAGUCAAAAUUAUAUCUUAAGCAUUGUGAUAGAGAAAAUUUUGUUCUCACUCCCUGCAGUGUGUCAUAGGGCAAAUUUGCAGCUUUGGCUGCUCUUAUCUUUUUGUAGGUUUUAAGGCUGCACAUGAUAUAGGAAUUUCCAAAUCUAGGACUAUUUGUCCAGUCAUGUCAUGUUAGGCAAGUCUUGUUUGUGUAGGUAUUUCAAUUUGGAACUUGCAAAAAUGGAACCUUUCCAGCAAAGUUGAACUGCUGGUCCCAAGACCAAAAGAUAAGGAUUUGCCUCAGGCUACAAGUCAAACCAGCAAAGUAAAACCUCAAAGUUCUCCUGUACAAAGGCUUACUGGUGCAAAACCUUUAGUAGCUUUAAUCCAAUUCCAAGAAUCUUGAGUUCAGCAUAUUUCUAAUAUGUGAGCCUAAUCAUCAUUCUGGAAUAGAAUCAGGGAAACCUUCUCGCAGUGUCUCUUGCACAGGUUUUCUUUAUCUCUACUUCUUGUAGGUUGUUGUAUUUGGACACUUAUUGGCUCAAAAACCGUCGAUCAUUUACAUUUUGGAAGAUUAUUUUAUUCAAAUUUUAUUAGAACAUAAAUGAUGCAGUAUUUUCAGUUGAGUUAGAUCAUGAUAUUUUUAGCUCUCUUUGAAUCUUUUCAGUUAGCUGUUUUUUUGGUAAAAACUUGAUAUAAGUUGUUUGUGGUUGGAGAAACUCGUCUGGCAAGUAUCCAUUCCAUCCAAGUAGAAUUCCUAUGGACAGCUACAAUUAAUAGGAUUUUGAUUGAAAGCCAGCCAAUCUUUCGGAAUUAGGCUAUGGCAACAGGCUGUGUGUGUUAUUUUUCUUUUUCUUCUUCCCUUCUUUGUUUUUUUUUUCUUUUUGUUGUUUUUGUUGUCAGUUUUGAUUCUUUUUACUUGCCUAAGUAGGAAAUAUUGCUCAUCUGCCCAUAUGUUGUGGAAUGUUUCUCAUUUUCCCUGUUACGUCUACUGAGGAUGAGGAAUUGGCAUAUCCUUUUAUACAGUUAGUGGAAAAGAAUGCUUUAAACAGGGCUAUAUCCCAUAUUCUAUAUGAAUCUUUUCCUAAAGGAGACCCAUAGUUGGGUAUUCAUGUUGAGUAGGCAUUUAUACUAUGUAAAUUCAAUGUUGAAAUCCUUUGCUUUUCAGAGCACUGAAUUUACUGCAAAAUACAUAGUUCUCAUACUUCUGAUUAUACCUGGCCACCUUUUUUUUUUUACUGUUUGAGCCAAAAUUACCUAAUUUUUAUGGAAAAUCACCAUUAACAUUCAAGAUAACAUGACCUUUUAAUCAAGAUAUUAACUGCAUAAAGCAACAUAUAACAUUCAUGAACAAUAAGGCUGAAAGAGGCAAAAACAUGCAUCCAUCAAUAUCUUACAUAAACACAUUCAAAACCUGUGGUUGGAUGAAAUAUGUCUAAAUAUGUAAAUGCUCUAUGUGAUAGGUUAUAUGAUAAAAUUUUACCUUUCUAAACUUGCAAGUAUCAAAAAAACUCUAAACAAUGUCCAAGCAAUGUCCCAAAAAGAGGUCAUCAUGUUUUAUGGAUGUAGAAUACCUUGCAAAAGAAUUUCAAAGCACUCCCCUUUAGAUGUGAAACAAGCAUAGAAGAAUUGGAUAGGAUUUAGAGAUUUAUAAAGAAAGCUAUCUUAAACUUUUAUAAGAUGGGAGAAAAUAUGAAAAUGAAAUUGUGUUAGACAAUAUUCUAAAUGCUUCAGAGAGAAGAGCUCUGUAUGGGAGAGGCAAAAGAAAACGAAAGAAAAAUGGCAUGUACGUUUAAGCAAUAACAAUCUUUUAAGAAAAAUGGCAUAAACUGGUUUUUUCUUAAAACUACUUAGAAAAAUGUGCAUGUACUGCUGUGUCAUAUCUUGUAGCAUUAAGUUUGUGAUAACUGCAGUUAAUUGAUAUUAGUUUCAAGAUUGCAUGAAAGAUAUGCAUGUAGGAUUGGAUUUCCCAAUUCCAAUGAGAAAGGAGAGACUGAAAGUGAUGUUGCCCCAUUGGAUUAGAUUAGCAUUGUCGAAAGUGGAACAAAGGGCUUCCAGAAAGUUGUGUGGCUGAUGAAUGUCUAUCAUAACUAGGGUACAAUUGUGUAAAGUGAUUAUAGCAUCAACCUUACUUUAUGGAGUAUGUUUGACGGUUAAGAAUACAAUAUCUCUAUUAUAUGUGCAUUGGGGAAAUGAUGUUGAGAUGGAUGAGUUGCUGGACAAGAAAGGGUGGAAUCGGAAAUGAAUCCAGUUGAGUAACUGGCAACACAAACUGAGGACAUGGGGAUAGGGAAUCAGUAAUGAAGACCAAUGAUUACACCAGUACAGACAAGUGAUCUGUCAUUUUCCAAUUCUUAAUGAAUUAUAAUAGAAAUCUCAAUCUUCGUUAGAUUUGAACUGGAAUUGUUGCUGAAGCCAAUAUUUGGAACAUUGCUAUUGUCUAUCUAUGACCAUUUGAGGACAAGUUAGGUGGUCCAUGGACCCAUUCUCCAUUACUUUGGUUCAAGAUACAUUUUUAAGUAGGAAAAGAAAAUGACCAAGCGAUACUUGUUGGGUCAUAGUCUUUGAUUUUGUAGAACAUACCAUGUGAUUUAUUUCCUGAUCCCUCAGACAACAGGUUUAAAUCCCUCUGUCUAUGUUAUUUGUUUGCAAUUUAAUUAGUAGUAAUGGUCAGUAGAUCCAUACCCCUUUCACUAAUAUUACUUCUCUUAUGCACUUUACAUGAGUGGUUGAAUCUGGGAUUUUCACCCAAUGAACGUUGCUCAAGUGUCAAUUCCAGACACUUUGGCAAGAUGCUUCCUUUCUUACUGACACAUGCUGUUUUCAAGUUGGCACCAGCUCUUUGUUAAAAAAAUUCUUUGGUAUACAGAACUACUUGAGUUUUGGUUCAUGUAUUCUUCUGUAUGUUGGGAUGCAGGUUCCAUGGUUGAUUAACUCUUAAUUUUGCUUAUGUGAAUUUUAGAAUGAGGAGCUUAAGAAACCCUAGGGGAUUUUGGUGUUGUACCGGCAAGAGUGGGCAGCAGAUGCAUCAAUGCAGGCAAACUGAACUUUUCUGAUUGAGAGUUAAAUAAAGCAGACAACACUUUUGGUCUGAAAUAUAUUCUCAUACAGUCAACAUGUCUCACAUGAAAGUAUGCCUUAAUAUUCUUCCUUGCUUUUCCUGUUUAGGAGCGGGUGUUGGGUUACUUAUUAGGGUUCUCCAUAUGGUUUCUACAAUGUUACUUCUUCCCUUUUUUAACAACAGAAACACAGAGAGAGAGAGGGAAAGCCAAAAAAAAAAAAAAGAAAGGAGAAGUUAAUAGCUAUUGACCCUAUGAUUUUCCAACAUGAACACCUGGAGUUGGUUUGUACCAUAUGUGGCCCCUCAAUAAUUUUGAAUUUGUCAACUUCAUUUCGUCGUAUUUGCUAUGCAACAAGCAAUUAGAAUUUUCAAAAGGGUGCUGGCCCUUUGAGCUGAGGAUAUUUGCACGAGACGAAUACUAAUGUGAUCAAUGAUGAGACAGCUUGGUUGGGAGAUGGGAAGUUGCCGUCAUACUUUUUCUACAUACAGAAAAAUCAGGACCCAUUAGGCAGGUCCAUUUCCACUAAUGAAAUAUCCUCAGCAGCCUGCAAUGAGCUUGGCCACUUGGUUAAUUCUCCACUGUUGGAUCUUCUCACAUGCCAUAGUUGCAUGCAGAUUGUGACUAGCUUGGCGGCCCCAUUUGUAGCAAACAUUUCAGAAGGCUCUGUGCAUGGAGCCCUUUUAUCAUCUCUAUGGGGGGAAUCACACAAUACUUGUGAGUGCUUUCCGCACCAGCCAUGGUGUGCCAAGUCAAUCAUCAACUGUUACAAGUUUAAAAGAAAAGGUUCGUUUUCUUUUUGAGUUAUGCAUAGGUGCCAUGUGGCCCGGCUUUCAAUUGCUCAAAUAUUUUAAACGGACUCCUUUUUCAUAAUGUUUGGUGGAUGGCAUGCUGUAUUACCUGCUUUUGAAUUAUAUCGGCCAUUUUAAUCAACUUUGAUGGCU